CCGAGUUUUCAACUCCCAAACCCCUGUGAACAUACCAAUCGUUGCCUCGGCGGGAGAGCCCCGGGCGUUGGCGAAAGCCUCGCACCGGUUAUCAGGGCCGCCCGCCGGAGGACCCAAACAAACUCUUGAAUUCUAAAGUAUCUUCUGAGUAACAUUAAGCUAAAUAAGUAAAUUA
rnacentral:misc_RNA from 1 species